UACGAAGGGAGCUAGCGUUGUUCGGAAUCACUGGGCGUAAAGCGCACGUAGGCGGAUGUGCCAGUCAGGGGUGAAAUCCCGGAGCUCAACUCCGGAACUGCCUCUGAUACAGCACGUCUUGAGUCCGGAAGAGGUGGGUGGAAUUCCUAGUGUAGAGGUGAAAUUCGUAGAUAUUAGGGAAGAACACCGGUGGCGAAGGCGGCCGAGCUGGUCCGAUUACUGACGCUGAGGCGCGAAAGCGUGGGGAGCAAACAGGAUUGAGAACC
rnacentral:rRNA from 1 species